CUUCCCCACAUUUAUCAGAGGUGGAGGACAAAUGAUUUUAGAUGCAAUGUCUUUUAUCAAAUUCUCAUGGAGAACAUAUGCCUUGCUCAGGGCUGGAACUCAACCCCGAGAUCCGUAGAUCUGGGCUCUCCCUAUUUAGCUAAGUGGGCGGGUUUGUUCUAUUUGUACUAUGCCUUUCACUAGUAGAUCUUUGUGCACACAAGACAAAAGGUUAUUAAAAUCAUGUAAAAUUUUAAUUGGAAGAUUUUUUUGCAGAUUUACUGGCAUUUUAAUUUUUAUGAUUUAGAUUUGUAAGUUCAUUUCAUUUUGACAUUCUUGACAACCAUAUACACAGUGAAACAUGUUAUAUUUCAUUUUUGCUAGAAAACUAUCACUACACUAAUAGAUAGUAGUUUAUACAUAAUCUAUUUUAGGUCGAUUGUGAACCAAGUUCUACAACUUAAAUUAAUAAUUCUGGACUCCGCAUUCCUGAUGGAAUCCAUCGCCAUGAGGGUAUGAGAGAAGAGGCCAGUUUCCCUUUUAAUGCUGAGCGCUAAGCAAAGGAGCUACUGAUUUGCAAGAGCAGCCAGUGUCCAAGGAAACCCACAGCCAUUCUAAAUAUAGGAACAACGCAAUCAGACAAGUUGGCAAGAUCUCACAUUCAAGAGUGGUGACAUUCUGCCCAAGAUUCAAGUCUGGAGAUUCAGUUGGCUGAUUUUAUAAUCUUU
rnacentral:lncRNA from 1 species